CGCUUUGCCAAUCGAAUACGAUUACAAUAUAAUUUAUUGGACUGUAUGGUAGUUUUAAUUUCUCUAAUUUAUUGUAACCGCUUCUCUAUGGAUACGUGAAAGUAAAUGGCUUUGGAAAUAAGAGUUAUUAGUAUUUAUGUUGAGUUAAUUAAUUUAAUUGGAUAAUUGAGUAAUUUAUAAAAUCUUAGUAUACGCAAGAACUGUAAAAACUGUAAUGAACUCCUAUCAAAUGUGAAAUGAUUAAUUUUGUGGACAAGAGAUCACCUCCGGUUAUAGACAUAACAUUUAGCAGAACUACAAAAAGGGCAUAGAGAGACCUACAUUGACCUGUAGCGAAGGUUAAGCCAAGAAUGUUCGAAUAUGAAAGAGAACCAGCACAAACUGGUUGCGAGUUAUUACAUACAAUUUUCCAUUAGUCGAACAUAUUGUGAAAACAUUAGUUAUGGCACAAAAAGAGGGUCACUUUCAAGUUAAAGCACUUAGAGAAUGCCAGUCAUACAUCAAAAUUAUCAAUCUGUGGUGAUUUGAGAAUAUUGAGGCCUUGAUAAAUCGCGAAAAGUUACUUAUAGUGAAUUCCUAGGGGAAGACGAAAUGACAGAAAUACUUUUUAACAUAAAAAGGAAUGGGAGGAAAGAAACAGGAGAUUUGAGAGACUAUAAUAUUACCCUAGGUUGGGAUCAGUGAAAGUAAUAUUAUGUUCCCACACCGCUAAUCACCGAGGUUUAGGCUGUUGAGACGUUUAACUCACUAAACCGCUGGAUUUAACAAUAUUUCGCAAUACAAAAAUGACACUUCAUAAUCCCUUUAGAGAAUCGAUUUGAAGCUGUACUACUCUAAAUCCCCCAAUGCGACUCUGAUUUUGCGCCAUCUGUUGGUCACAUUUGUUUAAUCAGAGCUGCUUUUCACUACAAACUGUCAAAAAAUGUCACACCUUCGGUCAACAGCUGCGAAGAGUGUUUGUUUACAAUUAGUAGGUGCUGGCUGCUGCUGGCUUUCAGAAGAAGAAGAGUACCAACCGUAUUAUAUUUUUAAAAUUUACCAAUAUAAUAUUGAAUAAAUUACUUGGGAAGAUAUUUAAAACUAAAACCCGAAUAAAAUAUAAUUAUUUUUAAUAAUAACUCAUAAUUUGUGUUUUCAUAGUUUCACAGCAGAAACUUUGCUAGCUAACAAUACAGAAACACUCUUACGGAUAUGAGUCAAAAACAGCUGAUUUGUAAAUCUCCAACGGCAGUGAGAACGGGAUAGUUUUGUGGAGCGUUUAAAUGUAAUCUAAUCACUUCAAAUUUUCUAUCGGAACAUGAUAUUAGAGUCUUUUGGUUUCUUAUCCGCCCGACUUAUUUUCACCUGGGAACUUGGGAGAGGUGUGAGCAUACUGUUUUGUUGACCUCACCUCUCAUUGAGAAUAAUGAUGCAGUAAUGCUAAUUACUCUCCGGUAAAGGUUGUACGUCUUAAGGACAAUAAAUAGCUCGAUUUAUUGUAUGUGCUAGAUCUAAUCGAAGUAGAAUAUGAAUGGGGCUUUUUUGCGAACUCAAUGCUAAUAAUUGAUUAGGAUAAAAACCUUGUUACUAGGAAUUGCUCAAGUAAUGAUUAUGUAAUAACUUGCCAAUCCAAAGAGGAUUAGGGCGAAAGGUCUGCUCUUGGCCUGGGUGAAUUCUGGACAACGGAAUUGUAGUCAUUAUCACUUUUGAUUUGAACAAUUUAGAAUAACAAACAGCACUGAUCGAAACAAUUAAACUUAAAUGAUGAUUUGCCGAAAACGCCAGUAAAUUGUUUUGGAAAUUAUAAACAUUAGACUUCUUUAUGAUGUUGCCAGGCUAAUCAAUGCUCAAAGAUCCAUAAAUCUUCCGCAAAACUUUUGUCUCAAAAACUCCGAGUACUGACUCUUCAGAUAUUUAUACCACCAAUGGUUCAGUACCCUAUAGCAGGACGGGAAUAAUGAGUAUUUUGUAGAGUUUGGUUAUAGUUCGCCGAGAGGCCGUAUAAACUUUUCAGGAAUAACAAAUUCACACAGAGCGGCAUUCAAUUCUUUUCCCCGGUAAUUUCCAAGAUUUAGCGGGUGGUGGAUAUCUGUUCCAUGGUAAAUUUGUCAGUUUGGCAGCACGAUAAUGACCUGGCUAUAUGCCGCUUUGUUUGAAUUCGACAUCCCGCAAAAUCAGGCUGUGCAAACUGACGUUAAGCAAUUACAAAAGUUCCAUCAAGAUCGGGAAGGACCUCUUCGAGCCGUGUGAUACCUAACGAGUUUUCAAACAGGAUUACUCACUAUCGUGCGUCUUCUUCAAUAUAUUUCUAGACAAAAUAAUAAGAGCUGCAGAAGUAAAUAGAGAUUAUACAAUUUUCUAUAGGAGUGUACAGCUGCUGGCUCACGCCGAUGAUAUUGAUAUCAAUGGAAGCAAAAACCACAUCGUUAGCUCUGCUUUUCAGGAGUACAUAAGGAAGCGAAGCGAAUAGGUCACAACUUGGGGCUCACGUCAUUAUUGACAUAACUUUGACUGUUAACUUAAUCUUGUCUAUCUUGGAACAAACAUUUACACCAAUAACAAUGCCAGCCUUAAAAUCCGAAGAUUUAUGGAUCUUUGAAUAUUGGAAACGGCGAAUAUCACAGACGAUAGAACGAUGAGCUGUCUAAGUGAUACGAACACAUAGACAUAGUUCAGCGAAUAAAGACAGCGUACGCUGGCUACGUCAUAUCGUUCAAAUGGACGAAUGCACUCCAGUUUUGAAUGUAUUCGAUGCAGUACACCUUGGUGGAAGCAGGGGAAGAGCAAGACCUCCACUCCGUUGGAAAGACCAGGUGGGGAACAACCUGACCGCGAAAAGUAGAACUGAAUGGCGUGCUCUUGUUAACUCGGCUAUAAUCGCAUAAACGGUGCCUGUACCAGUAAAGAAGUGGUGGCCUGAUAAAUAGCAUAAGCUAAAGAAGUACGCAAGCUAUUUUAGCCGACAAUUUACCUUGCACUCUUUGGUGGACAAGGUGAAAUGCCAGCGUAGGUGCAAAUGCAUAAAGAAUACAAUACAAUGGAGAAACGUAUGAGAGCGAAGUGACUGAAGAGGAGCAAAGCGUUUUAUAAUUAACAUUUUACAUUACUUUUUUUUAAGUACCACAAACCUUCAGUUUUAUUGAUGCUUUCGAAUUGAGGCUUUUCUCGCCCAGUUUCGGAAUAUUUCCCCAACAGUUCAAUUAGUUUUUCAAACAGUUGCUUGUUUUUGUUACAACAACCUUUGUUUUUAAUAAUUUGUAAAAAUUUUUAAUAAUAAUUUUGUGUUUUUUUUUAACCUUUUUUACGACACGCAAGUUUAACUACAGCUAUUAUCCAACAGCUCUGACAGUGUUGUAAAAGUUACCCAGCAAGUCAUGGGUACUGAAACUCCAACACAUUUAAAGAAAUUUUAAUAUCACCACUACAUACACACAUAUGCAACAAAGGGUAAGAUGUGCAUAAACCUUUACCUCAACUCUUCUCUCGUACAGCACCCUGAAUGAUAGAAAGAACCAAAGUUCUCGUGUGUUUGAACAAGUUUUGUUUUGAGCUAUAUCAUGGUUGCAUGUGAAGUAUUUUUUUGCGUGUUAUAUUAAAAUCAGUGAUCUGCAGUCUAAUUAUAGUUUAAAUUAUUGAAGCAUUCAUUUUUAAAUAAGUAAAACAGAGGAUGGGAUCAUGUGUAAAAGUUCACGUAAGUGAGGAAAGUUUUUGAUUGUCAAACACUUGGGAGUUGCCAGAAACGAUUCUUCUCCACAUGGUUCAAGCAGCUCACGACUUCCAGUUUUAGACCAAGUAUCCUCUGGGUAGCCAACAGACAUCCGUUUGAAGGCGAGCUAAAGUGAGUCCUUGUAAAGCGACACCGCGACACAUGAAUUCACCGAAAUUAGUUCAAUGGAAAUACUACAGCAAGAGCAUCGAUGUUAAGACUAGACUGUGCUAGUGCUAGAUUAAGAAUUCCUGAAGCAUGAGAAACCCUCCUUCCAGAAAUUGGAUGAAUCUAGUACUAGUGAAAUUAAUGAAUGAACAGAUCUUACAAAAACUCCUAAAGUAACCAAAAGAGUCCUCACAUAAUGUGCACAGCUUACACUUCCAGGCCGGACCGGGUAUUUGACAUUUGCCACUCUUUCUCCAGCCUUUGUCUGAUAGCAAAAAUUGUUCAACUAUUCAAUACAUUUUACAUAUAAUAUAAUACGAUAAUUCAUGUACAAAGUAAAUAUAAUAAUAAACAUUUAAAUGGCAUGAUAUUUUCAAUAAAUAUGUAAUACUAGCUGAUGGCGCAGUCGUUGCCCUGCGUGAAAGUAUUUGUUUUGAAAAGUAAA